UGUCAUGGCGGCUGUGCGCGGGAGACCUUCGGGUCUGCCGGGGUCCUGAUUUCCCGGUUUCCAGCCUGCGUACAGCUGCCACCCUU
rfam:Pseudomonas batumici strain TCM B-321 Contig_70, whole genome shotgun sequence.